rnacentral:lncRNA from 1 species
AGGAUGGGCAGGCAGGUAUCCCAUGUGCCUCUGAGGCCUGGUGCUGCCAAAUGAGCUCAAUUCCAACACUGUGCCUAGACCUUGGGGCCAGUCUGGCUGCCUCCUCCCCACCACCCCUCUCCCCUCAGCCUUCCCCACCACUCGGAUCACUUAGCGCAUCUAGAACACUUCUCUAAAGGACUCUAUCCAGAGGCUUCCCUUUUCUCCUCAGUGGCACCACCCAUUUGGUAUAGGCCUCUGCACCCACCAGUGGGAACACAGCUGAACUCCCUCCAGAUGUGGGGGUCUGAGCCUGGGGAGAGGGGUGGAAGCCUUGUUCCUGGGGAGCUCAGAGCACAGCCCCUGAUGACCUGAGUUGACCACUUGUCAUCCUCCCAUUAGCCCCCUAGGUGGCACUGCGCACCCCCCUACAAGCGGCAGAUUUGAGCCCUGCUCAGCCUUAAGGAGAAGCCCCAUCCCAGGGCACCUUCCCCACCACACCCUGCUCCUCACAGAUGCAGUAGCCUCUCCCAAUUUGCAAGGCUCACCUGGCAUUCUAGACCCAAGUCACGCUCCAGCCCCCGACUCCAGGGAGUCUUCCCUGAUUGCCCCAGCCCACCUUGAAGCCUCAGAGGCCUGCAAUUACCCCUCAGGGAAGGGCCACAGCUCCUGAUGACUCCCCUAGUAUCCAGGACACCAGGCCUCCACACCCCAGCCUGCCCCCACAUGUGCACGCACACGCUGGCCCUCCUUCCCCAGUGCUCUGCGCACAGCACCGCCCUCAGGCUGGUACGAAAUCACUUUUAUUCACAAUCACAGCGACCCAAGUGCACAAGGGAAGCAGCAGCCACCCCUGCACUGACAGAGCAGCUAGAACAGCGCCAAGCAUUCUGUUGACAAACAGUAACCGUCUGUCGAGUGCACUGACGAAGGCCUAACAUCCUGGAAAGCCAGGGAGCAACCACCCCCCAGCAAACACACAGACACCCUCUUUGCGUACAUUGUCUCAUCUAACCUUAACAAUCACCUUUUGAGGCUACCAUUGCCAUGUCAGGACACAGGCUGAGAAGUAGAUCUAUCCAAGAUACCCUUUUGAAAGUGGCUUAACAGGGAAUCAAACUCAUCGUUCUUUUUUAAAUCAUACAAGUUAUACAAAAUAUAAAACGAAAAAUGAACAUUCUCACUAAAUUCUGUAGAUAAUUUCUCGGCAUUCAUGAACUACAUGAAGCCAUUCAUGGGCAAGGACUCCAGGCUAAGAACCCUGGUAGCUUUUUUCAAAAUUUUCAAAAAUUUAACUCCUGGGCUCCUUCCAUCUUAUCCCCAGCAUCUGAACACCUCUCCGUGCCAAUAACUGUUUCCAACACCAUAUUCUUCUAAUGGCUGUGUUAUGUUCUGCUUUAUGGAGUCCUAUAACUUUCAAUAAAAGUGAUCACCAUGUUCCAUGAA